GACGAACGCUGGCGGCAGGCCUAACACAUGCAAGUCGAACGGUUGUAGCAAUACAGCCGUGGCGCACGGGUGAGUAACGCGUGGGAAUCUGCCCAGUAGUACGGAAUAACAGUUGGAAACGACUGACAAUACCGUAUACGCCCUUCGGGGGAAAGUUUUUCGCUAUUGGAUGAGCCCGCGUCAGAUUAGCUAGUUGGUGGGGUAAUGGCCUACCAAGGCGACGAUCUGUAGCUGUUCUGAGAGGAAGACCAGCCACACUGGAACUGAGACACGGUCCAGACUCCUACGGGAGGCAGCAGUGGGGAAUAUUGGACAAUGGGCGAAAGCCUGAUCCAGCCAUGCCGCGUGGGUGAUGAAGGCCUUAGGGUUGUAAAGCUCUUUUGGCGGGGAAGAUAAUGACGGUACCCGCAGAAUAAGUUCCGGCUAACUUCGUGCCAGCCGCCGCCGUAA
rnacentral:rRNA from 1 species